GAUGAACGCUGGCGGCGUGCCUAACACAUGCAAGUCGAACGGAAAGGCCCUGCUUUUGCUGGGUGCUCGAGUGGCGAACGGGUGAGUAACACGCGAGUAACCUGCCCCUGACUUUGGGAUAACUUCAGGAAACUGGGGCUAAUACCGGAUAGGAGCUCUUGCUGCAUGGUGGGGGUUGGAAAGUUUCGGCGGUUGGGGAUGGACUCGCGGCUUAUCAGCUUGUUGGUGAGGUAGUGGCUUACCAAGGUUUUGACGGGUAGCCGGCCUGAGAGGGUUACCGGCGACAUUGGGACUGAGAGACGGAGCAGACUCCUACGGGAGGCAGCAGGGGAGAGUAUGACACAGUAAGCGGGAGCCUGAUGCAGCGGCGCCGCGUGCGGAAUGACGGCCUUCGAGUUGUGAACCGCUGUCGCAUGAGACAAAGCGGGAGUGACGGUAAUGGAUAAAAAAGCACCGGCUAACUACGUG
rnacentral:rRNA from 1 species